rnacentral:misc_RNA from 1 species
CUUGGAGAUGGAGCAAGAAUUUUGAAGGUUCAGUGCUUCUCUUUCCAAUUUUUCAGCUAUCAAUUUUUUGGUUUCGUUUUCGUUAUAUUAGGAUGGAGUUCUUUUAGUUAUAAUAACUUUGAAUUAGAUUCAGAAGUCAAUUUGAUUUGAUCAGAUUGUUUGCGAUUGGUUUGAAAAAAAUUACACCGAAAUCCAACUACAGGCAGCAAUAGCAUGACCAAUGAUCAGAACCAUAGUGGCAUUUUACUCAUCUGAUCUGAAAAUCACUACAAUAUAGGAGAUAGAUUUUCAAGGUAGGUCGGAGUUC